rnacentral:rRNA from 1 species
GCAACGAGCGCAACCCCUGCAUUCAGUUGCCAUCGGGUAAUGCCGGGCACUCUGGAAGGACUGCCAUCGACAAGAUGGAGGAAGGUGGGGAUGACGUCAAGUCAUCAUGGCCCUUAUGUCCAGGGCGACACACGUGCUACAAUGGCCGGCGACAACGGGAAGCGAGUUCGCGAGGACGAGCGGAUCCCUCAAAAGCCGGUCGCAGUUCGGAUUGAAGUCUGCAACUCGACUUCAUGAAGCUGGAAUCGCUAGUAAUCGUGGAUCAGCCAAGCCGCGGUGAAUACGUUCCCGGGCCUU